AUGCGGGUCGACCGCGUCCUGACGCUGGCUGGUCGCAGGGCACCGACCUGGCCAGGUUCGCGCUGAAGACUGGGCACAGGGAGCCCGAAUCAGAGGACCUUGGCUGCCGGCUGCAGGACCAGACCCACAGGCAGCCGACACUGCUUCCUGCCGUCUCUCUGCUGCGUCUCCUGACACACACCUGUGUCACCUGCCAGCCAGUUGUUGACCUGCAGUGCAGAUGUGACCAGUCCAGAAUGCCCCCAGUCAACCUGCUCGGGUCUCAGCCCUUUCUCUUCUUGAGAUGAUAAAAUGCCCACAACAUGAGAUGAAGGAGGUGAAGGACACAGGCUCUGUGAUGUAGCGUUAGGCUACUACUGACCUUCUGACGAUAUACAUCAGAGGAAGAUCACCUGCUUUCACACCAUGGUUGCCUACAGGAAACACCAAAGCGUUAGCUCUCUCCCUGGGAGAAGGAGGCCCUCUGCAAGCCAGGAAGAGAACUCCCAUCAGAAACUGACCCCCCC